rnacentral:lncRNA from 1 species
UUGGGAAAUGUGUCCCAAAAAGCCAAUCGUCAAGCUGUUGACGGUUGAGCAACCAAGUAUUGUAAUUGAUUUAUUAAUAAAUAAAAUAUAUUUGGCAUCUUCAUCAUAAGCUUUCAUCUUCUAAUGAACUCUGUUGUUAUGAUGAAGUCCUUAGGACUAUUUAGGUUCGAUAAAGAGAGGAUUUAUCGAUUAGUCCUUAAAACUAUUCACGACCAAAUGAUAGGCUGUUA